AAAACUGAAGAGUCUGAGUUUAAAGUUGAAAUCUAGCCCUGAAUGAAUGGAUCAUUGUCCAUUCUCAGACUGAAGAUCUGAGACCUUCAUUUUUUGCAUUGAGUCCCUGUUGGAUUUUGACUUGUUGAUUUUCAUACCCCGGGCUGAAGUGUCUUUUUUUUCUUUUAUUUACUAGUGAACGGAGAGGUGGAAUGAUUGUUGAUCCUUUAAGGUCAGGAUUACCACGUUCUGGCUUUGACCCAUCAUCGGGAAUACCAGGACAGCUUCCUCCUGGUUCAGUCCCACCUGGAGCCAGAUUUGACCCAUUUGGACCAGUUGGUCCCAGUCGUUCUGGCCCUGAUCCGGAUCAUCUUCCUCCUCCUGGCUAUGAUGACUUGUUCAUGUGAUUUUUCUUUCUUCCCCUCGCCUCCCUCCUCACUUAAAACAAGUUGGGUUAUAAAGAAAACUUUGGAUAUAAACCACAACUUUUGGAAUCCCGUGGACUUCGCAUCUUUUGGUUAAAUGAAUAUUUUAUAAACGGUGUAACUUAGCCACUUGAUCUGGUGCAUUCCUGUUUGACGAAGAGCAGCUUCAGCUGAGCCAAUCUCCCUUUGGUAGUGGGGCAAGUGUGAUGAACUGAACCGGUGAAACGCUUAAGAGCAGCCAAGUGCUUUAUUGUCAUAUAUCUGACACAUACUUCCAGUGUGGACUUGUAACCAUUUUCCUGCACAUUGUUGCAGAGUUGUCACUGUGCUGUGUCUUUGAAGUAGGCAGAUUAAAUUAAAUGCAUAAAAACGUUUGAGGUAAAUGAUCCUGUUAAUAAACUGAUGUGUAAAUGAAAAAA